AACGAACGCUGGCGGCAUGCCUAACACAUGCAAGUCGAACGAGACCUUCGGGUCUAGUGGCGCACGGGUGCGUAACGCGUGGGAACCUGCCCUUAGGUUCGGAAUAACUCCCCGAAAGGGGUGCUAAUACCGGAUAAUGUCUUCGGACCAAAGAUUUAUCGCCUUUGGAUGGGCCCGCGUUGGAUUAGCUAGUUGGUAGGGUAAAAGCCUACCAAGGCGACGAUCCAUAGCUGUUCUGAGAGGAUGAUCAGCCACACUGGGACUGAGACGCGGCCCAGACUCCUACGGGAGGCAGCAGUGGGGAAUAUUGGACAAUGGGCGAAAGCCUGAUCCAGCAAUGCCGCGUGAGUGAUGAAGGCCUUAGGGUUGUAAAGCUCUUUUACCCGGGAUGAUAAUGACAGUACCGGGAGAAUAAGCUCCGGCUAACUCCGUG
rnacentral:rRNA from 1 species